rnacentral:rRNA from 1 species
UCCCUGAGACUUAAAGUCUCCUGAAGGAACGUUGAAGACGACGACGUUGAUAGGCCGGGUGUGUAAGCGCAGCGAUGCGUUGAGCUAACCGGUACUAAUGAACCGUGAGGCUUAACCUUACAACGCCGAAG